rnacentral:rRNA from 1 species
ACGUGGAUAACCUGCCCUAUCGUCUGGAAUAACCUCGGGAAACUGAGAAUAAGGCCGGAUAGUUCACAAUGCCUGGAACGGUUUGUGAAUCAAGGUAGGAUGGGUCUGCGGCGUAUCAGGUUGUAGGGGGUGUAAAGGACCCCCUAGCCUUCGACGCGUACGGGUGUUGGGAGACAUAGCCCGGAGAUGGAUUCUGAGACACGAGUCCAGACCCUACGGGGUGCAGCAGGCGCGAAAACUUCACACUGCAGGAAACUGUGAUGAGGGAACUCCUAGUGCAUGCACUAUGUGUAUGUAGAUCCUACUCUUAACAAGUAGAGGGAAAGGGCUGGGAAAGACCGGUGCCAGCCGCCGCGGUAAUACCGGCAGCUCAAGUGGUCGUCGCUUUUAUUGGGCCUAAAACGUCCGUAGCCUGUUUGGUAAAUCUGUGGGUAAAUCAAUCCGCUCAACGGAUUGAAUUCUGCAGAGACUGCCAGACUAGGGACCGGGAGAGGUGUGGGGUACUCGAGGGGUAGGGGUAAAAUCCUGUCAUCCUUCGAGGACCACCAGUUGCGAAGGCGCCACACUGGAACGGAUCCGACGGUCAGGGACGAAGCCUAGGGGCACGAACCGGAUUAGAUACCCGGGUAGUCCUAGGUGUAAACGCUGUGAACUUGGUGUCGGGGGUCCGCAAGGGGUCCCCGGUGCCGGAGUGAAGAUGUUAAGUUCACUGCCUGGGGAGUACGGUCGCAAGGCUGAAACUUAAAGGAAUUGGCGGGGCAGCAC